CAGUGCGUAUCGAUGUUGUGUAUUUAUGAGUAUUAACUAUAUUUAAAUGUUAUACGUAUUUACUUGGGGUUACGUGGCGAAAGUCCGUUGACUGAAAUCAUGUAUCUAUGCUUCCCUAAUUACUGGCCAUUGUUAUCUUAUAGGCCUUUAUUACCGUAAUUACUAAAUCGACUGACUUUCUUUACAACAAAAUUUUUAUUUAAGAGCAUGAGAUUUAAUAUGUCGCGUGUAAUUAUUUUUAGCAACAUAAGUCUUAGAACAAAUACCACACUGAAAAACCUCAACUUGGACUUUCUUAUGAUGCCCAGCGUGGAUUUUAAGAGCAACUACAUCAUCGAAUUUAGAAGGACAAUCUUUACAAGAGUUUUUCUCCAGAGUGCGUCCGUUUGUGUUCUGCUAAUUGCGACUUUCUGCAAAAUUUUGCAGAGCAUUCAUCACAUUGAAAGGGUUUCUCGCCUGUGUGGAUCCGCAUGUGGUACUUCAAGUCACCAUUGGUCCGGAAU